CGUGAGAUGUUGGGUUAAGUCCCGCAACGAGCGCAACCCUUGCCAUUAGUUGCUACGAAAGGGCACUCUAAUGGGACUGCCGGUGACAAACCGGAGGAAGGUGGGGAUGACGUCAGGUCAUCAUGGCCCUUAUGGGUAGGGCUACACACGUCAUACAAUGGCCGGUACAGAGGGCUGCCAACCCGCGAGGGGGAGCCAAUCCCAGAAACCGGUCGUAGUCCGGAUCGUAGUCUGCAACUCGACUGCG
rnacentral:rRNA from 1 species